UGUUUGUGACUGUAAGAGAUGUCCAGGACAGACCACCAUACUUUACUGGAGGACCUUACUUACCUGAUAUCUGGGAGGACCAUGCUGUGAACAGCAACGUCGUGACCAUCUCGGCACUUGACGGAGACAGAGGCAACCCCAACAACAUCACCUACAGGAUCACAAGCGGCACAUGUCCUGGAUAUUUCAACAUCAAC